rnacentral:rRNA from 1 species
UACGGGGGGGGCAAGCGUUGUUCGGAAUUACUGGGCGUAAAGCGCGUGUAGGCGGCUUUUCAAGUCGGACGUGAAAGCCCUGGGCUUAACCCAGGAACUGCGUUUGAUACUGUUAAGCUAGAGUGUGGAAGGGGCUACUGGAAUUCCGUGUGUAGCGGUGGAAUGCGUAGAUAUACGGAGGAACACCUGCGGCGAAGGCGGGUAGCUGGGCCAACACUGACGCUGAGACGCGAAAGCUAGGGGAGCAAACGGG